UACGUAGGGCGCAAGCGUUAUCCGGAAUUAUUGGGCGUAAAGAGCUCGUAGGCGGUUUGUUGCGUCGGCUGUGAAAUCCCGAGGCUCAACCUCGGGUCUGCAGUCGAUACGAGCAAACUAGAGUGUUGCAGGGGAGACUGGAAUUCCUGGUGUAGCGGUGAAAUGCGCAGAUAUCAGGAGGAACACCCGGUGGCGAAAGGGCGGGUCUCU
rnacentral:rRNA from 1 species